GCGGAAUAGCUCAGUUGGCUAGAGCACUCGGUUCAUACCCGAGUUGUCGUUGGUUCAAAUCCUACUUCCGC
rnacentral:tRNA from 1 species